rnacentral:rRNA from 1 species
AGUCGAGCGAGAUGUAUAUGGACGAAACUUCGGUCUAGGAAAUAUAUUCUCGGCGGACGGGUGAGUAACGCGUAGGCAACCUGCCCCAAACACAGGGAUAGCCUCGGGAAACCGGGAUUAAAACCUGAUAAUGCCAAAUAGUCACAUGGCUGUUUGGCCAAAGAUUUAUCGGUUUGGGAUGGGCCUGCGUCUGAUUAGUUUGUUGGUGGGGUAACGGCCUACCAAGACUACGAUCAGUAGCCGACCUGAGAGGGUGAUCGGCCACAUUGGAACUGAGACACGGUCCAAACUCCUACGGGAGGCAGCAGUGGGGAAUAUUGCACAAUGGGCGAAAGCCUGAUGCAGCAACGCCGCGUGAGCGAUGAAGGCCUUUGGGUCGUAAAGCUCUGUCCUUGGGGAAGAAACAAAUGACGGUACCCAAGGAGGAAGCCCCGGCUAACUACGUGCCAGCAGCCGCGGUAAUACGUAGGGGGCAAGCGUUAUCCGGAAUUAUUGGGCGUAAAGAGUACGUAGGUGGUCUUUUAAGCGCAGGGUUUAAGGCAAUGGCUUAACCAUUGUUCGCCCUGUGAACUGGAAGACUUGAGUGUAGGAGAGGAAAGUGGAAUUCCUAGUGUAGCGGUGAAAUGCGUAGAUAUUAGGAGGAACAUCAGUGGCGAAGGCGACUUUCUGGACUAUUACUGACACUGAGGUACGAAAGCGUGGGGAGCAAACAGGAUUAGAUACCCUGGUAGUCCACGCCGUAAACGAUGAGCACUAGGUGUCGGGGUCGCAAGACUUCGGUGCCGUAGUUAACGCAUUAAGUGCUCCGCCUGGGGAGUACGUUCGCAAAGAAUGAA